UACAGAGGUGGCAAGCGUUGUUCGGAAUUACUGGGCGUAAAGGGCGCGUAGGCGGCCUACUAAGUCAGACGUGAAAUCCCCCGGCUUAACCUGGGAACUGCGUCUGAUACUGGAAGGCUAGAGUAUGGGAGAGGGAUGUAGAAUUCCAGGUGUAGCGGUGAAAUGCGUAGAUAUCUGGAGGAAUACCGGUGGCGAAGGCGGCAUCCUGGACCAUUACUGACGCUGAGGCGCGAAAGCUAGGGGAGCAAACGGG
rnacentral:rRNA from 1 species